UCAAUUUAGAUUGUCUUGGUUUCUUAACAGAAUGGACACCUCACCGUUCCAAGUUACAAAUGCAUACCGACUUCAAUUUGCACUCAACAACAAUUGGCACAAGAGGUCCCACACGUAUACACAUACCAUGACUUUAUAUGCAUUUUUCUAUAUAUAACAAAUACACAGACAGAAUAUAGAGGGAGGAAGGCAACAAUUUCCAGGAGGGCCCACAGUGAAAGAAAAAGAACCAUCUUCUUUUCUUUUUCCAAUCCAUCAUCAUCAUCACAUUCGGACUCACGAAAACAAUCAUACACAGACCUCCAUUUUUUUUUCCUUUUUCUGGCUCUCACCAUCAACCCACAGAUUACACAUAAAAUCCUCUAUGGAUGAACAUUCGGACAUUCCAACACAGCUUGAUGUUCCAUUAAAACCAAAAAAAAAAAAAAAAUUAAAGAAGGCAACAUACACUCACAUACUCUCCACCCACCAUCACUCUCACAUUCCACCCAUCCACCACGGACGCACACACACAGAGCUAGACGGAAAACACACACUACACAGAGAGAUUCGAGAACGCUACAGAAAAACUGUGAGAGAAAGAAGUAGAAAAAACUGUGGGAAGGAACGAAAUUUUGGAUCGCUAGUCACUGUUCCGGAGAUCUACUCGCCAGAAAAACGUUAAUCCACCCAUAACUCACCGAAAUCCAGCCUAUUUCAGUCAGUUUCUUUCACUGUUAGCUCACCGGAGUCGAUUUGUCGAGGUUCUCAGUUCUUCAUCGAGAAUUGGGUCUGAGUUUCGUUUUGUGUGAAACGGGUCGGUCAAUUUUGUUCAAGUCAGUUCGGAUUUUGGGUUAUUGAAGUCGGGAGUUCGUUGUUGGGGAAUUUCUGUUCAAGAUAUUCCGGCACCGCUCCGUCAAACAGUUCAAUUGAAAUAAUACGUCAAAUUUGAGGACCUUUUGUACUUAUUUAUCGGAGAAUGCCCCGACGUAUCAUGUACACAAAGGAGGUUCGUGUUGAAGGCCCGAGGCACAGGGUAAAGCAUUGGAGCAUAGUUUAGGAUUAGCGUAGGUUUACUUUUCAGUACUUUUUUACUUCAGUUUGUAAUAAUUGGACUGAACAUUAUAUUUUGGAUUUGUUUUGUUUCG